rnacentral:tRNA from 1 species
ACUUAAGUAGUUUAAUAAAAAAUUUUAAUUUGUGGAAUUAAAGAUAGGGUUCCUUUUAAGUA